UGAGUAGCGAUUAUCCAGGCUUGUAUCCUGGGGGCUGAUGAGGAGUAGGGUUUCUGGACAACUUAAACAGAUCCAGAGUUAGUCGAUCCUAAUCUCAAUAAUGGGAGAAAGGGAGUACAGUUGAUAUUCUGUAACUGACAACAGUUCGCGGCAACGCAUACUAUUUUUCUCCGCCAAUCUUAUACCGUUGGUAGGGAUCUCUUUCCUACAUGACAGUACUAAUACCCAGGGAAACUGGUCAUCAGGCGAACUGCGGCGUUCUGCUGGCAAAACAUAGCUUCGGUUAUGUCAAUGGCUAUUGGAUUGGUCCAUGAAGCGAAAAAUAGUUUACUGUGUCACUCGUACCGAUAACCGCAUCAGGUCUUCUAGGUAAGUAGCCUAUGGCCAUUGAGGCAUGAUAGUUCAGGGAAUUCGGCCAAUUAGAGCUGUAACUUCGGGAUAAAGCUUGGCUCUGAUGAAAAUCAGAACCGAUUGUUACGCGGAGAGCCCAACUGUUUAAUAAAAACGUAGUGUCGCGCUGUGGUAGUAUAGCCAGUGAACGCGACAUGAAUCCUGCUCAGUGCUGUGUCUGUUAAUAUGGUUCAAGCCAACGAAGCACCGGUAAAUAGCUGGGGUAACUAUGACUCUUAUCAAAGUAGCGAAAUACCUCGUCACUUAAUUAGUGACCUGCAUGAACGGAGCUAUGAGGUUCUCACUGUCCCAAACUGUCUCUCAGCGAACCAACUGUAGUGGGAACGGUCACUAGAUAUCCAGCGGGGAAAGAAGACCCUGUAGAGCUUCACUUUGGUCUAGUCUUGUAUAGUUCCUGCGGGGGUGUAGACUAGGUGGGAGAGCAAUCGAUUCUGAAAAACCACUACCCUGUUUGGAAUUAUGCUUACCUAUCACAAGGAAUAGGACUAGAUAGAAAGUU
rnacentral:ncRNA from 1 species